rnacentral:lncRNA from 1 species
UUUGCCGUUGUGUGGAGUGCACGGACGCGUUCGUCGCGUUCUCAAGGAUCUAGAUCCUAGACGACCUCGUGGAGUUCGGUGGAGCGUUCUCAAGGGUUUCGGCCAAGAUGACAUGGCCGACGGCUAGAAAACCAUGGCAGAGGUGUUGUAGUUUGGCCCAGUGGAGGAGGCUGUGAGGGAACUCACCGAGUCACCUGCUGGUGGUGAAUGAUUGGAUCUGACUACCGUGAGAUGAUGUCCUCCUCACUGUUCUUGCUGUCAGACUACUUUAAAUGUAAUUGCAAACUGAUGAUAUGCAUCCUUUGUACCGAAGAUUAAUUCUUGUUUAUUUUCUUAAGCUGUAAAGGCCUUAUCUUCUAAUGUUUUAAUAUGUCACCUUGGAUAUUAAUUUUUGUAUAGGUUUGUUGUGCAAAAGCUAACUUGUUGAAUUUUCUGAAGUAACGUCUAGUAACCACAUCAAGUAACGGAGAAACAUAUUCCAGUUGCCAGCAAGACGCCAUUGACUUGCUUAUCACUGGUAUGUUCCUCUAUAUGGCGAUGGUCUGGUAUAGAUUUGCCAAAUUAUAAUUUCUUCAAAUUGUGACUUGAAUCCUAAUGUGGAAACUAUGCUCCUGUAGUGUGUUUCUACCUAUUGUGCCGGUUUGUACAUAUUUGCUGAAAAUAGCUUGUACAUAAAGGAAAGUACAUGAAGAAAGUAAAUCAAUCUGUUUUAGAACAUUGGUAACAUUCACACUCUUAAUAUAAUAAUAUCCUUCUUAUCCAAGUCGAUGUCAAAUACUCUUACUUAUCUUGGUCGAUACAAAUAGACUAUUGUACUAUUUAUUUCAUAAGCUACUGAUCCACUAAUUACCUAGAUGUCUAAGAACAUUGGUAACACUCACACCCUUAAUCUAAUAAUAUCCUUCUUAUCCUCAUCCAUGUCAAGUACUCUUACUUAUCAUGUUCAUAAGCUACUGAUCCACUAAUUAUCUAGAUAACAUCCUUGUUCUCCUGGGCCUUGCUUUCUGUACUUCAUCUUCAUCUUCAAGCAUUGUAUUUUUGGCUUUUGCUUUAACACAUUUCUUGUUACCGCGGACACCUUUUUCAUUUUGUUUAGGCAUAUUCGUCUCAAUGCAUUCAUCCUCCGAGUCAUCUGAUAUUACAACAGAUCUCAGUCUCCUUUUAUUGCCACUUCGGAGCUCACGGGAUGAUGACGAUAUUUUGUCUUGACUCUUAUCUUUGUUUAAUGUAGUCCCAUUGCUGUCAUGUGGCUCCUCUUUCACAGGCACCAGUUCGCAUGAAAGUUCGCCAGGUGAAACUUUAUUAUUCUUUGACUGCAAACAUAUACAUUUUUAAAAUUAGACACAUCUAUAAAAUCUAAAGUGUGUAUAUAGUUUUAAAAAAUCAAUCACCUUUCUAUCUAGCAUGUUCUGCUUCUUCAUUAAUACGAUGUCAACCUCAUCAUCCAUCAGUUCCUGUGCAACAUAUGUAAGAUUAAUUAGUUAAGGAAUUCUAAAAAUGGUAAAAAGUUAAUGCAACUUUACCUCCUCGGCUUUAUUGUCCAAGUAGAGCAUCUCAAGCUUAUCAUCAGAAACAAAUGUUCUUUUUACUGCAUAGUUUUGUGUGCCAAAUGUGAGAUUACUAUCAUUGAGCUUGAAUCGAAAUAUAAGUCUUUUUCCACAUAAUUGUUGAAUAAUCUUUGGCGCUUCUUCUAAUUUCCCAUCUAGUGUGUCCAGCAACUUAGAUGCAGACAUAUUAAGCAAUCUUGCAGCCUCCUCGUCAAAUAAAGUGCAGCUUGUAGUAGAUGUAUGGUCACUAAUUUGGAGACGAACAUGAUACCUAACAUACAAUUCAUGUUAGUGGAGAGUAAAUACAAUAUAACAAUGCUUGUUCAUAUUUUAGUAAUAUAAUAUGCUUACCGUGGUGUGACCUUUUCUGGAUAUAUACCACAAUUCUUGCAAUAAUACUUGUCGGUUUCUUUAGUAGCCAAUUUGUGACACUUACACAUGACAUGUACCACCAUUGAAUAUUUUCUUGCAAACAGUCUAUUGUAGCUAUUGUUGUGAAGACAAAAUUCUAAAAAAAAUCAACGUUAGCAUUGGGGUAGGGGUAGGGGAUUAAGAGACAUAUAUAAGUACAUUAUGGUUUCAUUAUAAUUAAUAUUGAAUGAAUUGUCCUUGCAUGUAUUUUACUCAUAUUACAAAGACUAAUGACAUAUUUAUUGAAAUUCGAUGCAUUACCUGGUCUGGCUGGUUUUCGUGCCUCAUUGUAGUAAGUUGUUCCAAUGUUUUCCUCCUAUAAAACAUUUGUUCUUCUAGUGUUCCUUGAUUACUCCUAUCUAUACCGAUCAUUUUUGGUAAGGUUUCUUCUGUCGAGUCCCUGCACAUGCAUGAAGUGAAUAAUAAUAUUGAAUCUUAAAUGAACGUGAGUCACUAUUUAUAAGUGGAAAAUAAAUAAAUUGGUGGUAUUUCAUACCUAUCAAGAAGUUCUUGUGUUUCUGGUAUAUCCAGAUCUAUAUAUAUUCUUGUGGCACUGGUUGACUUUAGGCACAGACCUAUUUAAUCCAUCAGUUAGAAUUUUAAAUGAUAAAAAUAACAUGUAAGUUUUAUGGAUUUACCAUUAAAUCUCUGUACCAUCGUUGAUGUAAUAAUAAGGACAGUUUGGCUGCCGAUUACAUCCUCGGUCAAAAAAUAAGCAAACUUUCCCCAUAACGUGAUUCUGAUUUUAUCACCCCAAAAGCAUUUAAUACGAGAAGUUAGUGCACACGGGGAGGUUUGGUUAAAUUUGAGACAUGCAUAUGCAUAUGCACUUACUCUGGCAUUAGGAUUUCAAUCUCGCGGAUAUAUGAAGGUUGUUGGUUCUUCUUUGUUAUUCUUGUCUCCACAGGCUUCAUUUGUGUUAGUAGUCCAAUGACAUCUGCAUAUUUGGAUAUUAGUGAUAUAACAAUUAGAAUAUCAACUAUUUCGAAGUCGAAAUUACAACUAUAAACAUACCUGAGCAUUGUGUAUCUUUUUCUGCCCUUUCUUCUAGUGUCUCGAUGGUAGCAAACUCGAAGCAAUAAUCUGGGAAAACUUCUGAAGAUUCUUUUAUCUCCUUUACCUUUGUAUUGUAUGCAAAAAAUAUUUUAAUGUCAUUGCUCACUGGCCUAUAUUUUGUGGAUUCCACGACCUUAAAAUUGCUGAAUGCAUAAAUAGAUUUUUCAUUGAUCUUUGAUCUAAAAGCGUCUAUAAGAUUCUUCCAGAUAGUAACAUGGAUUAUUUCACCCUGCUGAAAGAAUAAAAUAUGGUUAGUAAUUGUUGCUUCAUGUGACAGAAAGAUUCCAAUUAAAUAUAUUAAAAAACAAACCUGCUCAUCCAUUAGUAUCAUAUCUAGGCUAAUAAGCUCAUCGGUCGUAGGAUUGAUCGAAUCCCACAUUCUCAUUACUUUCACUUGAAUGUUCCAAUUUUGUCCCCUUGUAGUUAAGUCGCUCAACUUCUUGUAUGCCAUAGUGUUAUGUCUUCAAAAUUAACAGGAACAAUUUGUCAGUUGAUAUACUAUUUAUGAAGAUUUCUAACGAAAAGAAAGUAAGCAUACUAAAUAAAAUUACCAAUCUGAUGAUGCAGGCCAGAAGUGCUUUGCGGUCACUUCUUUCGACGUGGAUUGUAGCAGCUGGGCGUAACUUUGUCGGGCGUCGACUGUGCUCUGGCGUGACUUUGUUGGAAGUCAAAAGAAGCGGCUGGAGGUGGCUUUCGGUGUGGAUGUCGAGUUGUGUGUGCCUUGUUCAAGUCGUCGUGGUUGCCGACUUCUACUUGUUUGUUGGGUGCUUGUGCGGCCAGGUGCACUUGUUUAUAUAAUGGGUUAAGGUGUCUAGGUUGGGGUGUCCGAGACCGUGUGGAGAUCAUAUUGUAAACUUGUCUUAUCUGCAUGUAAUCGUUUCUGUUUUGGAACUUUCCUCACGUGGUCUGGUGGCUGUCCUUAUUUGUUUAGAUUCCUUAUUUGUCUAGGUUUGACUAUUGUUUGUUGUUAUCCUUGACCCAUUGAUGUGAAGGUUUUUUUUGUUUGUGCG